UGCGCCGUCGGUCACCGGUCGGCCACCAGGAUCUCACGGCCGCUAUGCGCGCUGAGAGAGAAAAAUCGAGUGGAGGAGAGAGAAAAUUGGGGGCUGCAUGAGUUCAUCCGAAGCCGAUCCUUGGACCCUCCUAUACCUAUUGCUUAGCUUCCCCGGCUGUCCACCAUCGCGCGCCAAGAGCACCGUGCGGGCGUGGCCGAUUUCCCCCAGGCAGGAACUUCACCUCCGAACUGACCACGGCGCAUGGACCUCGGGUGAGAACCCUUAGCCGCUUCUGUUUAAUUCAUCCAUGCUUGUAGUACUCUGUAGGCUAGGAUUUCAGGGCUCUGACGACUGGUGCGUCGUGGGCUGGUGAUAAUGUUUAGUGGGCGCUGCUGUUCUGGGAGCUCGCUGCGCCAUGGUGGCCCUCGGACGCUCCCUGGACUGCCUUGCGAGGCGAGAGGAUUGGCGAGGGAGGUUGAAGAUGGACUGGGCGCCGUAGAUUGAGAAUGGGUGGUCCCGAUUAGCUUAACUUAACGCUUCAGAUGAACGAACCUAGGGCGUUAGUUCGUAGACGAUCGGUUAGAUUUGAUCAUGGCGUGAAUCACUGCUGAUCGCUGAUCUCUGAUCGGGCGGCAGUAGAAACGUACCGGUUCAUCUUUUAGCAGAUGUAAUCGUGGCCCUUCGGUUCAGAUCGGACGGCCAGAACUGUUCCGAUACCCCCCUUCGGUCGUGGCAUUUUGUGUAAGAGUCCCUGGACUUAUUGCUAAUCAGCCCGCCAUCCGUGGAAGUUCAAAAAGAAUUACGAUUCAGUCCUUUUUAUUCCGGAUAGGUCCCUGUCCUUUAGGAAAAUUGAAUCUGACGUCCUACUAUUGGCCAGAAAAUUAUUAUUAAACAUAAAAUUUAUCCAUAAACUUGUUUAAUUAAUAACUUUCACAUUUUAACUCCGUUUUGCCCCGUUCUAAUUGCGUUGGACCCGUAUUAAUAUUGCCUACGCCAUAGUAAAAUUAUUUUACCAUGUAACAUGUUCUCAAAAAUAAAUAAUUAAUUUGUCCAACCCAUGGUUAUUGAAUUAACAUGAUUAAUGUGGGUUACUAUGGGAUUUUAAUUAUGAUCAUCUACUGGAAUAUGAUUCUAUUAUAACUAAGAUUAAAAGUUGAGUUAGCUACAUCUUUUCUCACAUGAUUUAUUUUAAUCACCAUAAUAUAUAGUUUUAUUGAUUAAUCACUUAGAACCUAGUAAAUCAUAUCUCCUUAACCACGACUCGAUCUUAGUGGUUCUCGAUCCCUCGAUUUCGUUACGACACGUAGAUCAUUAUUAUUCGGUUUGUACUUAUGUUUGGUGUGAUGUUAAUUUUGUCUAUACCAUGUCUGUUUGUAUUGCUACGACUAGCGCGAGGACACGUGUCAUCUGAAAAGCAAGUUGGUACCUGGAAUCUCAAGUGCCAGGCAAGUUGUGCCCUUGAUCACUUCUUUUUACCCCACUCAUGUUCUAAUUAAUCAUAAUGAUCUGCAUAGGUUAAUUUUGAUGGGACCCAAUAGGUUACCCUAGUUUGUCUAUCUUUAUACCUUGUUUACCACUGAACUUUUUGGGUAGUACUUGCUAGUGCUUUAUGUGGUUUUGGGUAUGAAGAUACAUUAAUCAUGAUCACACUGUUAUUAUCUGUUUAUUAUUACUGUUCAUGAUAAGAUCAUUAUGUUAAUUGGAACAUGGAGAACCACCCGGGAAAACAGUGCUACCACAAGGGAGGAAUGGGACCCCUUGGCUGAUUAAUUAGGAAAGCUAGUGGAAGACUACCUUACCCGAAAGGGGCAAGGGCAGUAGGGGAGUGGUCAGUGUAGGGAGGCCCUCGGGAGGAUUUUGCUGCGAUGGCGGUCCUGCAAGGGAUUCCUGCAUUGGAGCUUUCAAUAAACUGUAGCGGGUUUUCUGAAGCUAGUGGAACUUUGUAAAGGCCUCGUAGUGUUACCCUGCCUCGCCUCCUCGGUAGAGGUGUUUGGGAAGUCGCGAUCCCUUGGCAGAUGGGUAACAUGACUUGUGGGUAAAGAUGCGCAACCUCUGCAGAGUGUAAAACUGGUAUACUAGCCGUGCUCACGGUCAUGAGCGGCUCGGACCCUCACAUGAUUAAAUUAUGGAACUUAAACUCAAUUUGUCAUAUGCAUUGCAUCGCAGGUGAGGUUGUUACUUUUGUUCUACUACUUAACUGGGUUUGGUAUUUACUUAUACUUAGUAAUUGCUAAUAAAAUUUUGACCAACUUUAAAAGCAAUGCUCAGCUUCAACCAUCCUCUUUGGUAAGCCUUACACUUCACAUGAACUCCCACUUUUGGCGAGUUCAUUCACAUUAUUCCCCACAACUUGUUGAGCGAUGAACGUAUGUGAGCUCACUCUUGCUGUCUCACACCCCCCCCCACAGGUCAAGAGCAGGUACCACAGGAUGAGGCGCAUGAAGGAUGCUGUGAUGAGUUCGUGAGUGGUCUAGGCCGUCGUCUCCCAGUCAACUUUGGGUUGCUGGAUCGUUUCCUCAUAUGAUGUAAUUACUUAUUUUGUACAGAACUCCUGUUAUAUAGUAAAGAUGUGACAUUCGAUCCUGUGCCACUAUGCAUCAUAUGUGUGAGACUUGGUCCCAGCACACCUGGUGUUUAUGUUCGCGCCCGGGUUUUUGACCCCUAAAACCCGGGUGUGACAGAAGUGGUAUCAGAGGAAUAUUGACUGUAAGACGAAACCUAGAUAGAACUGGACAACCAAUACUUACUUAUCUUUGCUACUCUGAUUCUUUUCUAAACUUUUCUUAAUCUUUUCUCAUCUAUUUUCGCUUUACUCUGAUUAUUCUUACCUUUUCAUUCUAAAGACAAAUGUGGAUUUCACACUUUGAAAUCCUGUGCCUAAAGUGACUUUAGGAAUAGGAGACCUACUCUUAGGAACAAAAACAAAACUAUUUUUAUAGGUAUUUGUAUGCUUGAAUGUUUGUUCUUAUGAUACUUGUUUGAUUUGGAUCUUUGAUUGAGUGUGAUUAGUUGUGGAGUAAUGUCCACAAUUACAUCUGCAUAUACAUAUAAGCAUAAAUAGAAUUCAUAAGAUAACUAAACAGCCUAGAUUACUCUCCAUUAAAGUGUAUCUAUUUUAAUAGAUCAAUCUUAUCUUGAAAGAUUCUUUCCUAUCUUAAUAGAUUCUCUUAUCUUAAAAGAUACUCUCCUAUAUUAAUAGAUCCAUUUUAUCUUAAAAAGAUUCUCUUUUAUUUUAAAAGAUUCUCUUUUAUAUUAAAAAAAAGAUUCUACCCUUUUCUACUAGAUCUAAUUAAUCUCAAAAGAUUAUGUCUUAAUCGUAGAGACUUGUCUUGUUCUAACAAGCAUACUUAUCCCAACCACUUGGCUUAUAUCAUAACCUUCUAACGAAUAUGAUCUAUUCCCACCUAACAACGAACAAACUUUUGACCUACAUCAUGUAGUCUAUCUUACCCAUAUCUAUCUUAACUAUAUCACCCAACUCCGAUGAUAUACACUAACCUCAAAUUAAAGAGACCAAGACUGGAGAAGAAAAGAUAAACCUCGUUAAGGAAGGAGAGAAGUCAAACUCAAUCUUCAGAUGCAUUACCGCCCAACACGGAGUUCUUUCCCACCAUAAACUUUCUUACCACAUGCUCUUCUUGCCCUAACCUACCCAUAUUUUAUAAUAAAAUGACUAUACAAAUAGAUACCCAUGCUUUCCUAGCCACUUUCUAAUUAACAAGAAACUUCUUAUUCUUGAACUAAUUAGAAAUUAAAAGUAAACUAUAAAUAAAGCUUUUUACAUCCCUGUCCUUACAAAUCUCGGGGACGAGAUUUCUGUUAAGGGGUAGGAUUUGUAAGACCCAAAAUUUAUAUGAGAAAAAAAUAAUAAAAUAAAUAUAUGUAGUAUUCCUAUCAUAAACUAUAUAAUUAGAAAAUACUUUUCAAAAUAUUCAAGUAACCCUUGAUGGAAGAUGUAAAUUACUAAAACAAGCAAGUAAUAAAUAUGAAUUUUCUUUAAUACUUUUAAAAUAAUCUUCUUGGAUUAAAUAAUGUGUGAAGUAUUCAUUUAAGAAUUAUAUGCUCGAGGCAAUAGAUUUGGUUAAAAUUGAGAAAUGAGGACACUAUUAUUUUGAUCAACUUUAGGCUUGAAUAUUGGUAAAGAAGUAUAAACUGAAAUCUAAAAAAAACAAAAAAACAAAACUCCGUGUGGGAUGAUUUACCCUUGGCCAUAGUUCAUACGUAUAUCUUUUUGCUUGCCAGGAAUGACAUCAUCGCAAGCUCAUUCAUGAAAACAUCAAUAUCUCAAUGACGUGUGGGCUCCACUAGCCGGUCUCCCCCGCGUGUGCUCGCUACUCUGCUGUGUGGACCCCAUGCAUCGGACUUAUCUCCUCCCCAAAUCCGCGCCAGAGCUUUCUUCCCCGUGAAAAAUCGGAAUCGCGCGCAACUGAUGCCGUGGUUUCAGGCGGGUCAAUGGGAUUUGCUGUUCUUCGGCCGGCGUCGCGCUCACGUGCGCGGGAUUCCUCCCUGGCUCCGCUCUGUAUAUUUAACCAAUCCUCAGCUCUCAUCUUCCAAAAGUUCUCACCUGCGCCGUCGGUCACCGGUCGGCCACCAGGAUCUCACGGCCGCUAUGCGCGCUGAGAGAGAAAAAUCGAGUGGAGGAGAGAGAAAAUUGGGGGCUGCAUGAGUUCAUCCGAAGCCGAUCCUUGGACCCUCCUAUACCUAUUGCUUAGCUUCCCCGGCUGUCCACCAUCGCGCGCCAAGAGCACCGUGCGGGCGUGGCCGAUUUCCCCCAGGCAGGAACUUCACCUCCGAACUGACCACGGCGCAUGGACCUCGGGUGAGAACCCUUAGCCGCUUCUGUUUAAUUCAUCCAUGCUUGUAGUACUCUGUAGGCUAGGAUUUCAGGGCUCUGACGACUGGUGCGUCGUGGGCUGGUGAUAAUGUUUAGUGGGCGCUGCUGUUCUGGGAGCUCGCUGCGCCAUGGUGGCCCUCGGACGCUCCCUGGACUGCCUUGCGAGGCGAGAGGAUUGGCGAGGGAGGUUGAAGAUGGACUGGGCGCCGUAGAUUGAGAAUGGGUGGUCCCGAUUAGCUUAACUUAACGCUUCAGAUGAACGAACCUAGGGCGUUAGUUCGUAGACGAUCGGUUAGAUUUGAUCAUGGCGUGAAUCACUGCUGAUCGCUGAUCUCUGAUCGGGCGGCAGUAGAAACGUACCGGUUCAUCUUUUAGCAGAUGUAAUCGUGGCCCUUCGGUUCAGAUCGGACGGCCAGAACUGUUCCGAUACCCCCCUUCGGUCGUGGCAUUUUGUGUAAGAGUCCCUGGACUUAUUGCUAAUCAGCCCGCCAUCCGUGGAAGUUCAAAAAGAAUUACGAUUCAGUCCUUUUUAUUCCGGAUAGGUCCCUGUCCUUUAGGAAAAUUGAAUCUGACGUCCUACUAUUGGCCAGAAAAUUAUUAUUAAACAUAACAUUUAUCCAUAAACUUGUUUAAUUAAUAACUUUCACAUUUUAACUCCGUUUUGCCCUGUUCUAAUUGCGUUGGACCCGUAUUAAUAUUGCCUACGCCAUAGUAAAAUUAUUUUACCAUGUAACAUGUUCUCAAAAAUAAAUAAUUAAUUUGUCCAACCCACGGUUAUUGAAUUAACAUGAUUAAUGUGGGUUACUAUGGGAUUUUAAUUAUGAUCAUCUACUGGAAUAUGAUUCUAUUAUAACUAAGAUUAAAAGUUGAGUUAGCUACAUCUUUUCUCACAUGAUUUAUUUUAAUCACCAUAAUAUAUAGUUUUAUUGAUUAAUCACUUAGAACCUGGUAAAUCAUAUCUCCUUAACCACGACUCGAUCUUAGUGGUUCUCGAUCCCUCGAUUUCGUUACGACACGUAGAUCAUUAUUAUUCGGUUUGUACUUAUGUUUGGUGUGAUGUUAAUUUUGUCUAUACCAUGUCUGUUUGUAUUGCUACGACUAGCGCGAGGACACGUGUCAUCUGAAAAGCAAGUUGGUACCUGGAAUCUCAAGUGCCAGGCAAGUUGUGCCCUUGAUCACUUCUUUUUACCCCACUCAUGUUCUAAUUAAUCAUAAUGAUCUGCAUAGGUUAAUUUUGAUGGGACCCAAUAGGUUACCCUAGUUUGUCUAUCUUUAUACCUUGUUUACCACUGAACUUUUUGGGUAGUACUUGCUAGUGCUUUAUGUGGUUUUGGGUAUGAAGAUACAUUAAUCAUGAUCACACUGUUAUUAUCUGUUUAUUAUUACUGUUCAUGAUAAGAUCAUUAUGUUAAUUGGAACAUGGAGAACCACCCGGGAAAACAGUGCUACCACAAGGGAGGAAUGGGACCCCUUGGCUGAUUAAUUAGGAAAGCUAGUGGAAGACUACCUUACCCGAAAGGGGCAAGGGCAGUAGGGGAGUGGUCAGUGUAGGGAGGCCCUCGGGAGGAUUUUGCUGCGAUGGCGGUCCUGCAAGGGAUUCCUGCAUUGGAGCUUUCAAUAAACUGUAGCGGGUUUUCUGAAGCUAGUGGAACUUUGUAAAGGCCUCGUAGUGUUACCCUGCCUCGCCUCCUCGGUAGAGGUGUUUGGGAAGUCGCGAUCCCUUGGCAGAUGGGUAACAUGACUUGUGGGUAAAGAUGCGCAACCUCUGCAGAGUGUAAAACUGGUAUACUAGCCGUGCUCACGGUCAUGAGCGGCUCGGACCCUCACAUGAUUAAAUUAUGGAACUUAAACUCAAUUUGUCAUAUGCAUUGCAUCGCAGGUGAGGUUGUUACUUUUGUUCUACUACUUAACUGGGUUUGGUAUUUACUUAUACUUAGUAAUUGCUAAUAAAAUUUUGACCAACUUUAAAAGCAAUGCUCAGCUUCAACCAUCCUCUUUGGUAAGCCUUACACUUCACAUGAACUCCCACUUUUGGCGAGUUCAUUCACAUUAUUCCCCACAACUUGUUGAGCGAUGAACGUAUGUGAGCUCACUCUUGCUGUCUCACACCCCCCCCCACAGGUCAAGAGCAGGUACCACAGGAUGAGGCGCAUGAAGGAUGCUGUGAUGAGUUCGUGAGUGGUCUAGGCCGUCGUCUCCCAGUCAACUUUGGGUUGCUGGAUCGUUUCCUCAUAUGAUGUAAUUACUUAUUUU
rnacentral:lncRNA from 1 species